GACGAACGCUGGCGGCGUGCUUAACACAUGCAAGUCGAACGGAAAGGCCCUGCUUUUGUGGGGUGCUCGAGUGGCGAACGGGUGAGUAACACGUGAGUAACCUGCCCUUGACUUUGGGAUAACUUCAGGAAACUGGGGCUAAUACCGGAUAGGAGCUCCUGCUGCAUGGUGGGGGUUGGAAAGUUUCGGCGGUUGGGGAUGGACUCGCGGCUUAUCAGCUUGUUGGUGGGGUAGUGGCUUACCAAGGCUUUGACGGGUAGCCGGCCUGAGAGGGUGACCGGCCACAUUGGGACUGAGAGACGGCCCAGAAUCCUACGGGAGGCAGCAGUGGGGAAUAUUGCACAAUGGGCGGAAGCCUGAUGCAGCAACGCCGCGUGCGGGAAGACGGCCUUCGAGUUGUAAACCGCUUUCGCCUGUGACGAAGCGUGAGUGACGGUAAUGGGUAAAGAAGCACCGGCUAACUACGUG
rnacentral:rRNA from 1 species